GUAGCAAUAGUAAUAAUAGUAGUAGAUAGUAGUAGUUAUAGUACAAGUAGGUAGUAGUAGUAGUAGUAAUAGUAAUAGGUAGUAGUAGGUAGUAGUAGGCAGUAGUAGUAAUAGUAGUAGGUAGUAGUAGUAAUAGUAGAAGGAGUAGUAGUAGUAAUAGUAGCAGGUAGUAGUAGGUAGUAGUAGUAGUAGUAAUAGGUAGUUGUAGGCAGUAGUAGUAAUAGUAGUAGUAGUAGGUAGUAGAGUAGUAGUAGUAGCUGGUAGUAGUAUUAGUAGUAGUAGUAGUAGUUAUAGUAGCAAGUAGUAGCAGUAGUAGGUAGUAGUAGUAAUAGUAGUAGUAGUACUACUAGUAGUAGUCGGUUUAGUAGGUGUAGUAGUAGUAGGUAGAAAUAGUAAUAGUAGUAGUAGCAGGUGUAGUAGUAGUAGUAGUAGUAGGUAUAGUAGGCGUAGUAGUAGUAAUAGGUAGUAGUAGGUUGUAGGAGUAAUAGUAGUAGUAGUAGUAGUAGUAGUAGUAAUACUAGUAAUAGUAGUAGUAGUAGUAGUAGUAGUAGUAGUAAUAAUAGUAGUAGUAGUAGUAGUAGUAGUAAUAGUAGUAGUAGUAGUAGUAAUAGUAGUAGUAGUAGUAGUAGUAGUAAUAAUAGUAGUAGUAAUAGUAGUAGUAGUAGUAGUAAUAAUAGUAGUAGUAAUAAUAGUAGUAGUAGUAGUAGUAAUAAUAGCAGUAGUGAUAAUAAUAGUAGUAGUAGUAGUAGUAGUAAUAGCAGUAGUAAUAAUAGUAGUAGUAUUAGUAGUAGUAGUAAUAAUAGCAGUAGUAAUAAUAAUAGUAGUAGUAGUAGUAGUAGUAAUAAUAGUAGUAGUAGUAGUAGUAGUAGUAAUA
ensembl:lncRNA